rnacentral:rRNA from 1 species
AUCCAGCAAUGCCGCGUGUGUGAAGAAGGCCUUCGGGUUGUAAAGCACUUUUGUCCGGAAAGAAAUGGCUCUGGCUAAUACCUGGGGUGGAUGACGGUACCGGAAGAAUAAGCACCGGCUAACUACGUGCCAGCAGCCGCGGUAAUACGUAGGGUGCGAGCGUUAAUCGGAAUUACUGGGCGUAAAGCGUGCGCAGGCGGUUGUGUAAGACCGAUGUGAAAUCCCCGGGCUUAACCUGGGAAUUGCAUUGGUGACUGCAGGGCUAGAGUGUGUGAGAGGCGGGGGGAAUUCCAGGUGUAGCAGUGAAAUGCGUAGAGAUGUGGAGGAAUACCGAUGGCGAAGGCAGCCCCCUGGGAUAACACUGACGCUCAUGCACGAAAGCGUGGGGAGCAAACAGGAUUAGAUACCCUGGUAGUCCACGCCCUAAACGAUGUCAACUGGUUGUUGGGGAUUCAUUUCCUUAGUAACGUAGCUAACGCGUGAAGUUGACCGCCUGG